GCCACAUUCUAGGUCAUACACUCAGAAUGAUAGUGACAGUCAUAAAAUCAGCUGGCAUUUUUUUUUUGAGGCAUUCAACUAGCUACCUGACCUGCAUCUCUCAUGUAAUAAGCUCCCACCAAAAAUUUCAUGUGCCUUAGCCUGUUGACCAUCUGGAGGAAAGCAUGCCUGCUCCUUUUUCACAGAUGUGGGUGCUGCAGCUCAGCAAAGGGACAUCCCUUGACCAGGGUCCUACAACGGGUCACCGUGAAGAUGGAGAGAGAAAACGGGCCGAGGACUUUCUUCAGCAGCUAGCAAAAAGGUGGAGGUCCAAGAACGCGGGUCCUGUUUUUUAUGAUGGCGUUGAUGACCCAAGUCUGCAGAGCACCCCCUCGCAGAGGUCCCUAAGAACUCCAAAUGGGAGCCGCGGACAAAGGAGGCACAAGACAGAGGCUAGUCAGUGUGCUGAUCUGAACAAGCCCUGUUUCACAGGUAGGCAAGGGCGGUGCGGCGGCUCCAGCGACUUGAAGCCAAAGUCCCAGUCCCUUGAAGCCAGAGUCCUCGUCCUCUCUGAGGCCUCCUCUCAACGCCCAAGAAUUUCAAACGCCACCCACAAAUGGCCCCAAACGCGCCGGUCCCCGGCCCUUCUCGGUGGCAUCCCGCGGCAAGCGGCCGCACCUGUCCCCUCCCCGCCGGCUUCCGCGGAGUCAGCCUCAGAACGCUGAGGAGGGCGAGUACGGGGCGCUCGGAUCCCCGGUCUGACCUCUGCCCUUCUCGGCUUCGGAACAACCUUGGGAACCCCCCAGCCGCAGAGGAGGCCGCGAGCCUGGCGGGCGCACUGUGACCACAGCCCCUCGCCGCCCCCCUCUGGGCCCGGGCUGGCCUGGCUCUUAAUGAGGAGGCACACAGCACGACUCCUACUGCCGCGUCCAAGCCAGAGGGCAAGCCCUUGCCUUGUCUCCUCUUAAUGGAGGAGGGAGGUGUGCCCAGGCAGCUCCCUAAGCCGGCCCGCAACCCCCGGCCCCGGCCCGCACGUACCUGGCUGCGCCCGCGCCGCUACGCUGCGCUCCUCCGGCCCGGCCCACCUGAGGCUCAGGUAACACGCGUUUGCGCAACUUCCGGCGGCCUCCCGCUUCAGGUGAACCGCCGGCCAGAAUUACCCGAAAAGAGAGAACGAAAGGCAGGCAAGGGCAGCAACCCGGUCCCAGCCAACCACUGGCCUACUCCAGGAAGCGAGCCGGGCCGCCCAUUCCACAGCUGCACCGGCCACAUCCGCACAUCUGGCGCAUGGAGUGUCAGUGGCCCACACCAGCCCGUGCAUCCAGCUUGGAGAUGGAAAAACUGAAGACCCCCUCCCCCACAGCCACAGUGACCACGGUUGAUGUUCACUGUGCCAGGAACAGACAAGUGCCUUACCUACUAUUAAUUAACCCAUUUUCAUCUUCCCAACAACCCCUAUUAGGUAAGCUCUAUUACCCCCAACUGACUAAUGGAAUAGUGAGGCUGGGACAAGCUGAGUCAGUUGCCCAAAGUCACCCCGAGGCGUCCAACCCCGGCACUUUUCCUCCAGACAAAGCCUUAAUGCCACCCCCUUCUACUUGUGCGUCCCUGAGCAGGUUGCUGAAUGCUCAAGUGAGGAGAGGCCCACCUUCCAGGCCCAGUCAGUAUGAGUUCUUUGUGCAAGCUAUAAACAUCAGUGACAACAGCAAUAAGUCAUAGUAACUAGAACUUUUGAGUGCCAGGCACUGUGCUUAUUUAAAUCUCUGGACCCCCUUGGAAGGGAGAUGAAUGUCCCCUCUGCCAGCCUAAGCCCUGUUGUAUCACUCCCGGUGGUGUAUUGGUUAGCCCAGUUUCCUGAGGCCUGGAGAAGGAAAUGCCCACUGGCCUCAGGCCUGAGCCCUGGGGAAGCCGCAGAGGGCCCUGUUCCACAUCUGUGGCUGGUGGGGGCUAUGCCUGGAUUGAGGUGGAGGGCAUGAGGGAAGAGGAAGUGAUUCAGGCAACAGCUCUCCACCUCCUGGGAGUGAGUCAGCCCUGAGGCCUCCUCCAGGCCCUAGAGCUGAUUUUAGGAGGGUGAGGGAGGUAACAAAACCAUCAUUCCCCACAAUGGUCUGCCUGGCCCUCCACUGAGGCAACACUGGGGUAGGGGCAAAGGGGGAGGGCUCCGUAGGUACUAAUAGGAGUAAAUACAAGUCAACAGUAACAAUGUUCAUAAUAAAAUAUCUAAGAACUUUUCUGAGUGCCAUC